CAAACCACCCAAGGAGCAAAGAAGAAGUUGACACGGACUGGGUGGCAAUACUCUCGUUUGACAGCUUCAAAGUAGAAGAUGCAUUUGAGAAUGAAACUUGUCGCUGGGCUCUUGGCCAAGGCAAGCCAUAAGACAGCUUGACUGCUUAGACCUAAGCUGAUACCAAAGCAUCCGAUGGGGAACCUUAGAAGAAAUGGCCAUUUCUCCUCUUUAGGAAGCAGAAUAUCUUCAUGCUCCUGAGACAGAACACAAGUGGAAUAAGACAAAACAUCAGAUUCUAGAUCAUUUUUGGCUAUUGGGUGUCUGAAGAAAAGAGAUAGGAAGAGUUACCUUGACUUCAUCUAAUUCGGGUCCUCGAAGAGCAGCAAAGUAUCUUCCAGCCGGAACACUUGCAUUUAUAGACUCAUCUAAGCCAUUGGGUUCACCAUCUUCAGUUCUGACAGAAUUCUCGACGUCUCUUUCCUUUCUUGCAGAAGGCAAAAGAGAGUUCUGCUUGCUAAGCGUCGACUUAGUCCUGAAGAUACUGAAAUCCGCUUUCCUUGCAUCUCCUCCACCAUUGAUUCUGGCACCAGAUUCAAAGCCAGCAAAGCUCCGACCACUUCUUGGUAACUCUCUUAUCUGUUCUUGUUGUCUCCUGUUCCUUUUCUGGCUCUUGCUCUGUUGCAUCUUCAUGCAAAACCUCGUGGAUGUCAAUGAAAUCGGCUCGGAGCGAGUUGGGAGGAGGAGAUGAUGGUCGUUUCCGCUCCAUAGCCCCAAGAUUUCGAUUCUUGAACUGCAUAAGCAAUGGCUUCUCCUAAACAUAGGGAAGAAACGUAUGUAUAGAAAGAUUUGUGCAUUUAAGACAGUGGACUUUGGAAAGAGAUCACGAGAGGAAAGUAGUUUUGAUGAAAUGGGAACCAUUACUUUUUUUUUUUUGUGGAAAGUGAAUUUAAGUUA